GACGAACGCUGGCGGCGUGCUUAACACAUGCAAGUCGAACGGUGAAGGGGUCUGCUUUUGUGGGCCCUGGAUGAGUGGCGAACGGGUGAGUAACACGUGAGUAACCUGCCCCCUUCUUCUGGAUAACCGCAUGAAAGUGUGGCUAAUACGGGAUAUUCUGGGUCUGUCGCAUGAUGGGUCUGGGAAAGAUUGCGCCUUUGGGUGUUUUUGGUGGGGGAUGGGCUCGCGGCCUAUCAGCUUGUUGGUGGGGUGAUGGCCUACCAAGGCGGUGACGGGUAGCCGGCCUGGGAGGGUGGACGGUCACACUGGGACUGAGACACGGCCCAGACUCCUACGGGAGGCAGCAGUGGGGAAUAUUGCACAAUGGGCGCAAGCCUGAUGCAGCGACGCCGCGUGAGGGAUGGAGGCCUUCGGGUUGUAAACCUCUUUCGCCAGUGAAGCAGGCCUGCUCCUUGUGGGUGGGUUGACGGUAGCUGGAGAAGAAGCGCCGGCUAACUACGUG
rnacentral:rRNA from 1 species